rnacentral:lncRNA from 1 species
AUUCUUGACCUGUGGUCACAGAUGGGGAAACUGAGGCCUGGGGACAGUCUUUGAAUUUUCAAAUUGAUAUCCAGUAAAGAAUCCGAAUUGAUAAAUCCAGUCCUCAGCUCUUGGAAAGCACCCCGUUAACAACAAAAAAAAGUUGUAUCUUUUCUUUUCGUUCAAUUGACAGAUCAUUAUUGAGCUUAUGGAAUGUGGAAGACAAAAUGCUUUGUUCUGCAGCGGGGAGAGAAUGAAAUAUCGUCCCUGCCCUAAGAGAAUAUGUCUUCUGGGAGGGGCACCGUGACAAGCAAGGACGUAGAUACCAGAAAGUGCAUGGUUACAGCAAUGUGGUGGCUUGAUCUGAGGUUAUGGGAGGGAAGUCUGACAAGGGAACAAGGACACGUCAUGCCUGGCUGGAGUAAGGAGCAGAGAUUUUAUGGAAGAAGCAGUAGCAUUUGCCUAGGAGUUGAAGGAUUUCUAAGAGCUAUGGGUGGCCUCAAGAACACCUGUGGAGAAAUGGAAUGAGCAAUUUUGGGCUUUCUUCUUGGCUGGUUGGAGUCUUCAAAGGAACCCUGGGCUGAGAGUUCUGGGUCCAGUGCUAGCUGUCACUAUGACUGUGGGUGUGACCCUGAGCAGGUCACAUUAUGCCUCCCAUCUCACCAGUCAGGAUAAUAAUCCUGUCUAUCCUUUCCCAGGCAUGUAGUGAGGGAAAAAUGAGGUCACCGAUGAAAUAAUGCUCUGGGAAGUAAAAAGCAUUAAAUGAGGACAAAGUGUUGUCUUAAUGAUAUGACAACUGGGCUAUGAAGGGAAACAUAUAAAUGCCAGGUAUUUAUUAUCUCAACCAGCAUUUGGAUUAGUGUUAUUCUUUGUACCAACUGUAAGCCUGAUUGUCAGUGUUGGAAAAGUCUCACCACCCCAGUUUAUGAGACCUCCAGGGGUUAAGAACUGCAAGGAUCCAACUUACAAAGUUAAAAGGAAGAGUCCACACAAGACCACACUCAUUUCUUUGUGUGUGUGUGUGUGUGUGUGUGUGUGUGUGUGAGAUAGGGUCUCUCUCUGUCAAAGACUGGAGUGCAGUGUGUGAUUGUGGCUCACUGAAGCCUUGAACUCUUGGACUCAAGCCAUUCUCCCACUUCAGCCUCUCGCGUAGCUGGUACCACAGGUUCAUGCCACCACAUCUGCUAAUUUUUUGAUUUUUUGUAGAGAUGGGAUCUCACUAUAUUGUUCAGGCUGGUCUUGAGCUCCUGGGCUCAAACAAUCUUCCCAUCUCAGCUUCCCAAAGUGUUGGGAUGACAGGCAUAAGCCACUGUGCCUCAGGCCACUCUCACUUCUGACAUCAACUUCAAGUUCAGGGGUUUGCCAAAACCAUCCUUGGUUUGAUUUACUAGAAACACUCAUAGCACUCACAUAAAUGCUGUUAUACCCCUGGUUGCAGUUUAUUACAUGGAAUGGGCACAGGUUAAAGCCAACCAAAGGAAUACAAGCAUAGGGCAGGCUCUAGGAGGGAUCCAAAUGCAAAACUGUCUUGUCUUCAGGAUAUUCUCCUAGUAUCCAUGUGGCAAUUCACACAGAGUAUUGACAACUUGGGAAGAUGACUCCUGCCUCAGUGUCCAGAGUAUUUAUUAAGGUUUCACGAUACAAGUGUGAAUGAUUAUUUGCCCUUGUGUUUGAACUAAAUCUCCAGCCCUCCUUCCCCAGAUGUCCGGCUGAUAUCAUGUGGCCUGAGGAACACGUGAGUCACUUCAUUGGCAGAAAGUAUCAGGUGUGAUCCAAGGGGCCCCCUUGAAUAGCAAAGAUACUCCUUUCACUUGGGAAAUUCCAAGAAUUUAUGGGUUACUUUCUAGGAGCUAGGAACAUAGCCAGAUCUCUCAUUGGGGAAAUCCAAAUUCUUUCUUACACACCUCUACUCCCUCUAAGUUAUCUUUCCAGACAUAGCUCCAGUUCUUCCUUCCAGGGCUUUAUUAGCCUCUCUUUUCUCUAAUCUUCCAUGGCACUGAUUGUUUCUAAUACAUAGAGAGGAAUGGUUGUUAGAGCUCUAGACUUUGGGCAGAUACUUGAAUUCAAGUUCAAACUAUGUUACUUCCCAGGCUGUGUGACCUUGGGCAAAUUACUUAACCUUUCAGAGUCUCCAUAAAUGUUAAUUAUUAUUUUUAUUUUUCUAAUUAAUCACAUGCUAUUUACAACUUACAUGGUAUUUGUAGGAUGGAU